rnacentral:rRNA from 1 species
GUAACAGGAAUAGCUUGCUAUUCGCUGACGAGUGGCGGACGGGUGAGUAAUGCUUGGGAACAUGCCUUUACGUGGGGGACAACAGUUGGAAACGACUGCUAAUACCGCAUGAUCUCUUCGGAGCAAAGCAGGGGACCUUCGGGCCUUGCGCGUAAAGAGUGGCCCAAGUGGGAUUAGCUAGUUGGUAAGGUAAUGGCUUACCAAGGCGACGAUCCCUAGUUGGUCUUAGAGGAUGACCAGCCACACUGGAACUGAGACACGGUCCAGACUCCUACGGGAGGCAGCAGUGGGGAAUAUUGCACAAUGGAGGAAACUCUGAUGCAGCCAUGCCGCGUGUGUGAAGAAGGCUUUCGGGUUGUAAAGCACUUUCAGUGGGGAGGAAAGGGUAUUAGUUAAUAACUGAUAUCUGUGACGUUACCCACAGAAGAAGCACCGGCUAACUCCGUGCCAGCAGCCGCGGUAAUACGGAGGGUGCGAGCGUUAAUCGGAAUUACUGGGCGUAAAGCGCGCGUAGGUGGUUAAUUAAGUCAGAUGUGAAAGCCCCGGGCUCAACCUGGGAACGGCAUUUGAAACUGGUUAACUAGAGUUUUGUAGAGGGUGGUAGAAUUUCAGGUGUAGCGGUGAAAUGCGUAGAGAUCUGAAGGAAUACCAGUGGCGAAGGCGGCCACCUGGACAGUGACUGACACUGAGGCGCGAAGGCGUGGGGAGCAAACGGGAUUA